GACGAACGCUGGCGGCGUGCUUAACACAUGCAAGUCGUACGGUAAGGCCCUUUCGGGGGUACACGAGUGGCGAACGGGUGAGUAACCCGUGAGUAACCUGCCCACAACUUUGGGAUAACGCUAGGAAACUGGUGCUAAUACUGGAUAUGUGCUCCUGCUGCAUGGUGGGGGUUGGAAAGCUCCGGCGGUUGUGGAUGGACUCGCGGCCUAUCAGCUUGUUGGUGGGGUAGUGGCCUACCAAGGCGGCGACGGGUAGCCGGCCUGAGAGGGUGACCGGCCACCUUGGCACUGAGAUACGGCCCAGACUCCUACGGGAGGCAGCAGUGGGGAAUAUUGCACAAUGGGCGCAAGCCUGAUGCAGAAACGCCGCGUGCGGGAUGACGGCCUUCGUGUUGUAAAACGCUUUCAGCAGGGACGAAGCUUUUUGUGACGGUACCUGCAGAAGAAGCACCGGCUAACUACGUG
rnacentral:rRNA from 1 species